rnacentral:rRNA from 1 species
GACGAACGCUGGCGGCGUGCUUAACACAUGCAAGUCGAACGAAGAGCGAUGGAAGCUUGCUUCUAUCAAUCUUAGUGGCGCACGGGUGAGUAACGCGUAAUCAACCUGCCCUUCAGAGGGGGACAACAGUUGGAAACGACUGCUAAUACCGCAUACGAUCCAAUCUCGGCAUCGGGACUGGAUGAAAGGUGGCCUCUAUUUAUAAGCUAUCACUGAAGGAGGGGAUUGCGUCUGAUUAGCUAGUUGGAGGGGUAACGGCCCACCAAGGCGAUGAUCAGUAGCCGGUCUGAGAGGAUGAACGGCCACAUUGGGACUGAGACACGGCCCAGACUCCUACGGGAGGCAGCAGUGGGGAAUCUUCCGCAAUGGACGAAAGUCUGACGGAGCAACGCCGCGUGAGUGAUGACGGCCUUCGGGUUGUAAAGCUCGGUUAAUCGGGACGAAUGGUUCUUGUGCGAAUAGUGCGAGGAUUUGACGGUACCGGAAUAGAAAGCCACGGCUAACUACGUG